AAAAAGAUAAGCUAAAUAAAGCUAAUGGGUUCAUACCCCAUUUAUAAAGGUGCCCCCCUUUUCUUUUUA
rnacentral:tRNA from 1 species